rnacentral:piRNA from 1 species
GCUUGAGUCCAGGAGUUCUGGGC